GCGGUGAUGGCUCAGUGGGAGAAUUCUCGCCUCCCAGGCGGGUACCUGGGUUCAAUUCCCAGCCAGUGCA
rnacentral:tRNA from 1 species